rnacentral:rRNA from 1 species
UUUAUGGAGAGUUUGAUCCUGGCUCAGGAUGAACGCUGGCGGCGUGCCUAAUACAUGCAAGUCGAGCGAACGGACGAGAAGCUUGCUUCUCUGAUGUUAGCGGCGGACGGGUGAGUAACACGUGGAUAACCUGCCUAUAAGACUGGGAUAACUUCGGGAAACCGGAGCUAAUACCGGAUAAUAUUUUGAACCGCAUGGUUCAAAAGUGAAAGACGGUCUUGCUGUCACUUAUAGAUGGAUCCGCGCUGCAUUAGCUAGUUGGUAAGGUAACGGCUUACCAAGGCAACGAUGCAUAGCCGACCUGAGAGGGUGAUCGGCCACACUGGAACUGAGACACGGUCCAGACUCCUACGGGAGGCAGCAGUAGGGAAUCUUCCGCAAUGGGCGAAAGCCUGACGGAGCAACGCCGCGUGAGUGAUGAAGGUCUUCGGAUCGUAAAACUCUGUUAUUAGGGAAGAACAUAUGUGUAAGUAACUGUGCACAUCUUGACGGUACCUAAUCAGAAAGCCACGGCUAACUACGUGCCAGCAGCCGCGGUAAUACGUAGGUGGCAAGCGUUAUCCGGAAUUAUUGGGCGUAAAGCGCGCGUAGGCGGUUUUUUAAGUCUGAUGUGAAAGCCCACGGCUCAACCGUGGAGGGUCAUUGGAAACUGGAAAACUUGAGUGCAGAAGAGGAAAGUGGAAUUCCAUGUGUAGCGGUGAAAUGCGCAGAGAUAUGGAGGAACACCAGUGGCGAAGGCGACUUUCUGGUCUGUAACUGACGCUGAUGUGCGAAAGCGUGGGGAUCAAACAGGAUUAGAUACCCUGGUAGUCCACGCCGUAAACGAUGAGUGCUAAGUGUUAGGGGUUUCCGCCCCUUAGUGCUGCAGCUAACGCAUUAAGCACUCCGCCUGGGGAGUACGACCGCAAGGUUGAAACUCAAAGGAAUUGACGGGGACCCGCACAAGCGGUGGAGCAUGUGGUUUAAUUCGAAGCAACGCGAAGAACCUUACCAAAUCUUGACAUCCUUUGACAACUCUAGAGAUAGAGCUUUCCCCUUCGGGGACAAAGUGACAGGUGGUGCAUGGUUGUCGUCAGCUCGUGUCGUGAGAUGUUGGGUUAAGUCCCGCAACGAGCGCAACCCUUAAGCUUAGUUGCCAUCAUUAAGUUGGGCACUCUAAGUUGACUGCCGGUGACAAACCGGAGGAAGGUGGGGAUGACGUCAAAUCAUCAUGCCCCUUAUGAUUUGGGCUACACACGUGCUACAAUGGACAAUACAAAGGGCAGCGAAACCGCGAGGUCAAGCAAAUCCCAUAAAGUUGUUCUCAGUUCGGAUUGUAGUCUGCAACUCGACUACAUGAAGCUGGAAUCGCUAGUAAUCGUAGAUCAGCAUGCUACGGUGAAUACGUUCCCGGGUCUUGUACACACCGCCCGUCACACCACGAGAGUUUGUAACACCCGAAGCCGGUGGAGUAACCUUUUAGGAGCUAGCCGUCGAAGGUGGGACAAAUGAUUGGGGUGAAGUCGUAACAAGGUAGCCGUAUCGGAAGGUGCGGCUGGAUCACCUCCUUUCU